rnacentral:rRNA from 1 species
CCUACGGGCGGCAGCAGUGGGGAAUGUUGGGCAAUGGGCGCAAGCCUGAUCCAGCAACGCCGCGUGAGGGAAGAAGUCUUUCGGGUUGUAAACUUCUUUUCUCAGGGACGAAGAAAGUGACGGUACCUGAGGAAUAAGCCACGGCUAAAUACGUGCCAGCAGCCGCGGUAAUACGUAGGUGGCAAGCGUUAUCCGGAUUUACUGGGUGUAAAGGGCGUGUAGGCGGGUAAGCAAGUCAGAUGUGAAAACCACGGGCUCAACCUGUGGACUGCAUUUGAAACUGUUGUGCUUGAGUGCUGGAGAGGCAGACGGAAUUCCUAGUGUAGCGGUGAAAUGCGUAGAUAUUAGGAGGAACACCAGUGGCGAAGGCGGUCUGCUGGACAGCAACUGACGCUGAGGCGCGAAAGCGUGGGGAGCAAACAGGAUUAGAUACCCGAGUAGUC